rnacentral:rRNA from 1 species
ACACGACUACAUUAGAUACCCGUGUAGUCCUAGCCGUAAACGAUACUCGCUAGGUGUCGGCCACGGUGCGACCGUUGUCGGUGCCGUAGGGAAGCCGUGAAGCGAGCCACCUGGGAAGUACGGCCGCAAGGCUGAAACUUAAAGGAAUUGGCGGGGGAGCACCACAACGGGUGGAGCUUGCGGUUCAAUUGGAUUCAACACCGUAAACUCACCAGGGAAGACUGUUACAUGAAGGCCGAGAUGAAGACUCUGCUAGAUUUUCAG